UACGAAGGGGGCUAGCGUUGCUCGGAAUCACUGGGCGUAAAGCGCACGUAGGCGGAUCCUUAAGUCAGGGGUGAAAUCCUGGAGCUCAACUCCAGAACUGCCUUCGAUACUGAGGAUCUCGAGUCCGGGAGAGGUGAGUGGAACUGCGAGUGUAGAGGUGAAAUUCGUAGAUAUUCGCAAGAACACCAGUGGCGAAGGCGGCUCACUGGCCCGGUACUGACGCUGAGGUGCGAAAGCGUGGGGAGCAAACAGG
rnacentral:rRNA from 1 species